CAAACAAUUGGAUGGGAGUUGAGACAUUUAAUGGAAGUCAUAAGUCCCCAACACGUUGAAAGCCAAAUGACAAGGAUUUAGUACAUAUACCAAACCAACUAUACACAAAGCUGUCCAUUUGUAAAAUUUAUUGCAAGCCAUUUUAGGUGGUACAGGGUUCGUCUAUCUGUUAGCAACUGCUUCUGUGGACAGCAGUAACGUGAAGGCCUCCAUCAACAUGAAGAUUAAUCAUUGUUCUGUAAUUGACAGCUUUAGUUUCAUCACUGAGUUUGAAAACGAAGCUUCCUAUCAGAACAGCAGCAAAUAUCUUCAUCUGCCUGUAUGCAA
rnacentral:lncRNA from 1 species